rnacentral:misc_RNA from 1 species
AACGCACAUUGCGCCCGUUAGUACUCUAGCGGGCAUGCCUGUUCGAGCGUCAUUUCAACCCUCAAGCUCUGCUUGGUGUUGGGGCUUCUACGGUUACCGUAGGCCCUGAAAGACAGUGGCAGGCUCACUAUAACUCCGAGCGUAGUAAUACACAUCGCUUAGGGCGUUUUAGUGGGAUCUAGCCUCCUCUAUUUUUUUUCUAAUGGUUGACCUCGGAUCAGGUAGGAAUACCCGCUGAACUUAA